GAUGAAGAACGUAGCGAAAUGCGAUAAGUAAUGUGAAUUGCAGAAUUCAGUGAAUCAUCGAAUCUUUGAACGCACAUUGCGCCCGCCAGUAUUCUGGCGGGCAUGCCUGUUCGAGCGUCAUUUCAACCCUCAAGCCCCCGGGCUUGGUGUUGGGGAUCGGCGUGCCCUCGCGGCGCGCCGUCCCCUAAAUCUAGUGGCGGUCUCGCUGUAGCUUCCUCUGCGUAGUAGCAACACUCGCACUGGAUCGCAGCGCGGCCACGCCGUUAAACCCCCCACUUCUGAAAGUUUGACCUCGGAUCAGGUAGGAAUACCCGCUGAACUUAAGCAUAUCAAUAAGCGGAGA
rnacentral:misc_RNA from 1 species